rnacentral:rRNA from 1 species
GACGAACCGAGCGAACGUUGUUCGGAAUCACUGGGCUUAAAGGGUGCGUAGGCGGGCUAUCAAGUCUGGGGUGAAAUGCCACGGCUCAACCGUGGAACUGCCUCAGAUACUGACGGCCUCGAGGAAGGUAGGGGCAUGCGGAACUGUAGGUGGAGCGGUGAAAUGCGUUGAUAUCUACAGGAACUCCGGUGGCGAAAGCGGCGUGCUGGACCUUUUCUGACGCUGAGGCACGAAAGCUAGGGGAGCAAACGGG